UUAGUGGCGAACGGGUGAGUAAUAUAUCGGAACAUAUCCGGAAGUGGGGGAUAACGUAGCGAAAGUUACGCUAAUACCGCAUAUGCCCUGAGGGGGAAAGGGGGGGAUCGCAAGACCUCUCGCUUUCGGAGUGGCCGAUAUCGGAUUAGCUAGUAGGUGAGGUAAAGGCUCACCUAGGCGACGAUCCGUAGCUGGUCUGAGAGGACGACCAGCCACACUGGAACUGAGACACGGUCCAGACUCCUACGGGAGGCAGCAGUGGGGAAUUUUGGACAAUGGGCGAAAGCCUGAUCCAGCCAUACCGCGUGAGUGAAGAAGGCCUUCGGGUUGUAAAGCUCUUUCAGCCGGAAAGAAAUUGCUUCUAUUAAUACUAGGAGUAGAUGACGGUACCGGAAGAAGAAGCACCGGCUAACUACGUGCCAGCAGCCGCGGUAAUACGUAGGGUGCGAGCGUUAAUCGGAAUUACUGGGCGUAAAGCGUGCGCAGGCGGUUUUUUAAGUCAGAUGUGAAAUCCCCGGGCUCAACCUGGGAACUGCAUUUGAAACUGGAAGACUAGAGUAUAGCAGAGGGGGGUAGAAUUCCACGUGUAGCAGUGAAAUGCGUAGAUAUGUGGAGGAAUACCAAUGGCGAAGGCAGCCCCCUGGGUUAAUACUGACGCUCAUGCACGAAAGCGUGGGGAGCAAACAGGAUUAGAUACCCUGGUAGUCCACGCCCUAAACGAUGUCAACUAGGUGUUGGGGGAGGAGACUUCCUUAGUACCGUAGCUAACGCGUGAAGUUGACCGCCUGGGGAGUACGGUCGCAAGAUUAAAACUCAAAGGAAUUGACGGGGACCCGCACAAGCGGUGGAUUAUGUGGAUUAAUUCGAUGCAACGCGAAAAACCUUACCUACCUUUGACAUGUCAGAAAGAUCGCAAAAGAUGUGAUUGUGCUCGAAAGAAAAUCUGAACACAGGUGCUGGAUGGGUUGUCGUCAGCUCGUGUCCUGGAAAUGUUGGGUUAAGUCCCGCAACGAACGCCACCCUUUGUCAUUAAUCGGCAUCCAUUUAAUUUGGGCACUUUUAUUGAAACUUGCCGUGAUAAACCGGAAGGAAGGUGGGAAUGACUUCAAGUCCUCAUGGCCCUUAAGGGUAAGGGCUUCAACCGUAUAACAUAGGCCCGUGACAAAGGGUGGCCACCCCCGGAGGGGGAGGUAUCUCAGAAAACCGGCCUAAUCCGGAUUG
rnacentral:rRNA from 1 species